AUGACUAUACUUUCUGAGAUCAUUUCUAUAGUCCAUUACUGGAGAAGUUUCUCUGAUCAUGUGAGCACCAAAACCAUUAGGAGGAGCCAGAGCAUCCUCUCCUGAGUGUGAAGCCAGUUUUGGGUGUUGGUUCUGCAACUGCCUUUUACCAUAGAUGAUCAUUCUUCUUUUCCCUUGGAAGAGAGAGAGGGAGAGUUGGAGUGGGUUGGAGUGG
ensembl:snoRNA U3 Small nucleolar RNA U3